rnacentral:rRNA from 1 species
AACGAACGCUGGCGGCAGGCCUAACACAUGCAAGUCGAGCGCCCCGCAAGGGGAGCGGCGGACGGGUGAGUAACACGUGGGAAUUUUCCUCAAGGUACGGAACAACUCAGGGAAACUUGGGCUAAUACCGUAUGAUGCAGAGAUGCCAAAGAUUUAUCGCCUUGGGAUAAGCCCGCGUCAGAUUAGGUAGUUGGUGAGGUAACGGCUCACCAAGCCUGUGAUCUGUAGCUGGUCUGAGAGGACGAUCAGCCACAUUGGGACUGAGACACGGCCCAAACUCCUACGGGAGGCAGCAGUGGGGAAUCUUGCGCAAUGGGCGAAAGCCUGACGCAGCCAUGCCGCGUGAAUGAUGAAGGUCUUAGGAUUGUAAAGUUCUUUCGCCUGUGACGAUGAUGACGGUAACAGGAGAAGAAGCCCCGGCUAACUUCGUGC